rnacentral:lncRNA from 1 species
AGGGACCACAGUCACAUGAUUUGUGAGUACACUGGGCAGGAAAGAACAGUCCAUGAUAUUCACACGGAGUGAAAUAACUAUUACACCUGCCACAUUGGCUCCCACUGAGGAAUGACUGCUUCCUUGAUUACAAAAAUGGACACUGAAGAAGAUUCAUAAGUUCCAGCUGCAAUGUCCUCAAAUAAGCCUGAUUCCUCAAUUUCCUCUUCUGUCACUCCCAACCUCAUACUUUUGUUUGUGAGUAUCAACUGAAGUAAGAAGAUGAAUGAAGUGCCCAGAGUAAUGUCCAGCAGACCACGGACACAAAACCAAAGCUGGAUUACUUUUUCUCUCCUCUUCUCUUUUGAUGCUAAUUUUGAAGGUGACAUUGGGAGAAGAACAUCCUUUGAAACCCUGACAUUCUAGAAAUCCAGAGCUUCCUUGAGUUUCAACUAUUCUUGGAUGUAUGCAAAGUGGCCGGAAGCCAUUAGUGAUUUACUCAUUGGUCUUAACAAGCAAGCUAAUAUGCCCCCAAAGGUCCUCUUGUAACACAAGCAAAAGGAAGCCAAGGGUUGAACCAUUUAUUCUGUGAAUUUGAUUGAUGUCGACAGGCAAUCUGGACAGCUGAGGCCCAAAUGCACAUUUUUUUUCUCCUCUUUCAUGGCAGGAUUGAUUUUGGCCUGAAUCAUCUAAAUAAUUGCCUUCCC